GUGGCCUCACAAUGCGUUAGUUACCAUAGCACCCAGUGAGCGACGGGUUCCAGGCUGGCGCCCAGGGUCCUCGGCCUUCGGUGAUUCGCCUUGUCGUGGGAAAACAGGACACGGGGAGAUUAGUCUCCUCGCCUUAGACCCAAGGUUUCUUGCUCCAAGAAAGCCAGAUAGAGUAAAGCACUUUGAGCUCUUAGGAUGAAAAGGACUUUAGAACUGCAAAGCGCUGUUUGGAUUCUCCUGCAGACUUGUUAUGCCUCUGCUGCCAUAUGAUUCCACUUUGGACUGGGAUCUGUCCCAUCGUUUAUGGAUCCAGCAUUGUUCCACUUCUAGCCUCCAGUCCUCUCCAGACUUUGGGGUCUCCCGGGUGGGCCUCUUUCUGAAGUCACCUGAUGUGCCGAUCCAAGAUGGUUCCAGUCUCAGCCUUGACAUGCAGCCCUAAAUCUUUCAGACAUCUGUAAACAGCACUCUGAGCUUUCCACCAUCCUUUUAUUUUGUCUACAGUAAAGGGUGAGCACAGUGAA